CAAAAUGCUAAUUUAGCUAUGAUUUUAUCUAUUACUGAUGUGAUUAUUUGUUUCACAGGGUUCUUGUACAUGCGAAAGUGCAUGAUUUUUCGAUGCUUGUCUAGCUGCAGUUGUCUCCCCAUGUAAUGGCAUCAAGUUCAGAGCGCCCCAACUGCCUCUCCUUCGACCGUGGUUCAGGAAGCAUGUCUAAAGAAAAGAAAAACCUGGAUAAUCAUGGUUGUUACAGGCCUAGGGAAAUUGAUACACUCAUGGGCCACCUGAUGUUGGUUGUCAAGCUUGUUUGCUGCGACCAUCAGCCGAUGUAUCCUUCAUCAGUGCACGGCCAUGGCGAUGAAAUGCUGCGUUGAUGGGUCUAGUUUCAGAAUUAAGCUAUGUAGUUUGGCUCUGUCAUGUUGCAAUGUCUGUGAAGGAAGGACACAAAGUGCUAGUGCUUCCUGGGCUGUGUAGACCCCAAAUAUUUUUAUUAGCUCA